CACACGACUCUCGGCAACGGAUAUCUCGGCUCUCGCAUCGAUGAAGAAGGUAGCGAAAUGCGAUACCUGGUGUGAAUUGCAGAAUCCCGCGAACCAUCGAGUCUUUGAACGCAAGUUGCGCCCGAGGCCACUCGGCCGAGGGCACGCCUGCCUGAGCGUCACAC
rnacentral:rRNA from 1 species